UACGUAGGUGGCGAGCGUUAUCCGGAAUGAUUGGGCGUAAAGGGUGCGUAGGCGGCGAUGCAAGCCAGGAGUGAAAGCCCGGGGCCCAACCCCGGGACUGCUCUUGGAACUGCGUGGCUGGAGUGCAGGAGGGGCAGGCGGAAUUCCUGGUGUAGCGGUGAAAUGCGUAGAUAUCAGGAGGAACACCGGUGGCGAAGGCGGCCUGCUGGACUGCAACUGACGUUGAGGCCCGAAAGCGUGGGGAGCAAACAGG
rnacentral:rRNA from 1 species